rnacentral:tRNA from 1 species
AAAGAAUUAGUUAAUCCCCCAUAACAUAAAUUUGUCAAAUUUAAAUAAUUAAUCUUAAAUAAUAUUCUUUA